GCGGGACCGGGAGCCUCCCGCGGCCACUUCUGCCCCCCCCCCCCGGGUUUUCUCCUGGGGAGAGCUCUGGGGCACCUGCCUUCACCUUUCUGCGAGGGGCUGGACACUAUUUUAGUCAAUCUUUGAGGGGUGUCGAGGGCAGGUUUGGAGCGCUUAGGUCUUUCACCUCAGCCGGAGCUGGUCAGAGCUGGCCUGAGCUGGCAGGAUCCGUCAGCUUCACCUCGCCAUCCGCAAGACGUGGAUGGAACAGCUGACCCCACUGUGCAGGCCCUGCAGUAAUUGCACCUGGGCAGGUUAGGUUGGGACGGGGUUAGAAUGCAACUCCCAACAACUUUAAUUUGGGCUGCCGGUGGGGUGUGUGGAGCUGGGCUCUGUCCUUAGAAUAGAGUGAGAGCUUGUAGCUAGGUAAAGCUGGUGGAUCAUGGACACUUUUCCAUUACAGAGAAAUCACCACUCGGGCAAAGGACUAGACAUGUUCUUUGGUGAAUUAAAAGCAAAGUUACAUUGUUAAGUUUCCCGUGCUGCCAAACAGGGCAUAGCACUCAAACACUGAGGAAGAUACGCACCCAGAGUGACUAUGGGUAAGUAAUUCCAGACCAUGGCAGGCUUAAUGAAGUCCAGUGGUGAUGACAGAUGGACUAGUGCAAAUGCUGUGCUCAUGGCUCCUUGUCUAAACAUUUAAGGAAGCUCUGUCAGAUGAAAUGUCUACCAUGGUUAGUUUUAAAAGAGGACCCUAGGAGUCUGAUGUUCUGUAUCAUACAGAAAGGGAACAACUUAAAUCGCCGUCCUUGGAUAAAUGUGUACACAGUCCCCUUAGCUUGUGACAUGGCGUGGGAACCCAGCGAUACCAGAGCUUGCAGAAAGCAUAACUACAUGUACAGUCCUUUAUUACUUUCCUGAAAUAGUAACUGCAGCAUGUGAGGUCUUCCUUUUAGAACCUUUUGAAUUGACUUUUACAAUAACACUGUAGUCCAGAGGAGGCAGUUUCCUAUCACUUCCCAUCAUGCCCGACCACAACCCUCCUAUCCACAUUUGUCCAGUCUUUGGUUUUCGUUGAAGUCUACUUGGCAUGUUAAAAGCUGUGCGUAGUUACUGGAUGCAGCUCACUGAGUUUGGAGAUAGGUGGACAACUAUGAAUUUGCCAGAUAUUAACAAUACAAUAUUGCUUUUUAAAAAUUUUCCAGGAGGAGAGAUCUUACGUGUUCUCUCCACUUUUGAGAAAUCAGAACCAAGUGAGCUGUUCUGGACUGUCAUUCUCUUGAGUGCAUUCCUUUACUUGCUAAAGGCCAAUCACAGAAGCCUUCAGGUAGCCCAGCACUCCAGGGAGUUCACAACCUUGUAUUGAUAGAGAUCUAACCAGCUCUACGCAGUCUCCUCAUGUGGUGGAGAGAAGUAGGUCAGAGUAGCAUUUUCUAGUACCAAGCCACUUGGCAUGAUAAGAGCUGCCAUUCCCAGGUGAAGAGUGAAUGCCUUGCAGAGUGUGGUGAACCUGCUUCUCCUCCCCUACAUGAGGCCGUUAUGUCCUCAUGUGGUGCUUGUGUGGAGUCUGAAUUAUUUGUGUAGGUUCUGCGAGUGCCAACCUCCGUAGUCAUCCUUAAACUAAGCGUAGGUUUUAUAUUUAUGUCGUGGUAGGAGUCCAUACAAAUCAUAUGAGCAUCACCCAGUGUCUAGUUUCACCUUUCACAUUACAUUUAGCUUAGCUUUAGUGUGUUACUGUGUACAAAUUAUUAUCUGGUAAAAAUCAAGAGGCAAUUUGUAUUUGGAAUAGUUUCCCUUAGGCUCCUUUUGUGAAAAGUCAUUUACUACUGGCUCAUUUCUACUGUGAAUACUUGUUGCAGUUUGUUAAGGAAGGGGACUCUCCCUUGGUUGUUCAAAUAAUGCAGCUCUCUUGGCUCUUCCUGUUUAAAUAGAAUGUUUCUCCAGCAAUUAUUUGAAUUGGCAAACAGGUGUACUCACACAAUGCUACUGAGGAAACUGUUGAUGUAAUGUUACUCAGACAUUACCAAAAUAAACCCAACUUCAUGAAAGCAGAAAAGCACUGCGUAUAUUCUAUGCAGAAUUAUUUGGAAUGGUUAGACUUUUUGUUUUUGUUUUUUAAAUAUUGAGAACCUCAGGCAUAAUCAGAUGAACUUUAGUGAUUUAUAUUUUAAAUAGGGAGAUCCUGUAACAGCCUAAACAUUUAUCUAAUUCAGAAGGACCUCCACUUUCUUUUUUUUCUUUUUCUUUUCUUUCUUUCUUUUCUUUUUCUUUUUUUUUUAAGACAUGCUGCUUGCUUAAGAGAGCUGGAACAAUUCUUGGCAGGCAGGUUUCCUCCUAGGAAAAAUAAAAUGGGAAUUUAACUGUGUUCAUGUGAAUUUGAUGCACAAGCCAACAAUUAAUGCCAAAACUUACUUUAAGUCUUGAAUUUACGGUUGGGUUUUAUAAAAGAAGUAACAUGAUGAUUGCACAGUCACUAAUCCAUUGUAUAUUUUAUUCUGUAUCUUCCUAUUCAGACAGGCAGGAAAAUGGUUUUUUUACCGCUUGCUCACUUCUCCCAACUUUGAGAACUCAGAGUAUCAGAAAUCUCUGAACUCAGAGAAUUCAGAAAGAUCUGAAAGGGUUCUCAUUCUGUAACUGAAGAAAAUUAAUCACAGUGAUGAGAACCUUACCCUGGAGGCCACGACACAGGUUUGUAGUCAGAACCUCUCACUGGUAGGGCUAUUUGGCUUUGAUGAACCAGAGCUGAGCCACAGGGUUUGUUGGUUUCCCCCCUGUUUUCACUAGGCAGAAAUGUCCAACAGAACCAGUAAGAGGUUGGCUCCAUGGACUAUUUGAGGAUAUUAAAUAGUAGUAAACUCAGCUCAGUGAAAAUACGCUUGCUGUGGUUUUGACUGACACACUUCAACACAGAGGAGUAACAGUCAGUGCUUUUCAGGCCCUACCAUGACUACUGGUGCUUUUACAGAAAAUCCUGGGAGUAGAUUUGGGUUAACUUCUGUGACAGAGCACUGUACCAGGUGGUCCCGCUGCCUCAGUGGACAUAUGCAGGGCUUUGUGCAUGAUAGGCAUGUGUGGUGGCAAACGGCCACCAUAAAAUGGUUUCAGCAGUAAACACCCCUUGACACCCCCUUGUGUUUAUUGCCUUGAUUGCAUUUGUUCCAUUGUAGAACUAUCAAUAAUCAUGACCAUUGGGUAAUUGUAGAUGAUUGAAGGAGAGAUCAGUGUUAUAUAACUCGAAAAACAGUCAACAAAGCAAACAAAACAAAACAAAAAAAAUCCUCAAGCAAAUCAGUUAUGUGUAAUAAAGUCUUUACCUGUCAGAUGUUUAGCAAAUGUUGAGAACCUACAGGGAAAAGUAACACAUGGGGUCCUUAGAGGUUAAAAACUGGGGGAACUAAGACAAGCACAUGUUGGUGAGCACAGAAGUCUAUACACAGAUGUGUUUCCACUGGAAGUCUGUAUUCAUAUCUGCUUACCGUGAACAUGAUUUAAAGAGCUGAUAGUUUGGAUUAAGCAGGAACUGGAAGUUUGUACUCAGCAAUUUCUCUGUUAUUUUUGUUUUUAUUAUUGACUAUAACAUGUUGAGAAAACAGUCAACUCUUAUUUGAACUAGAAAUAAGGAAAGGGGAAUUUAAAGGAUGAAAGUUUUACCCAAUAACUUUUUGAAUGGUUCCUAUGUUGAUGCUCAUGCAUUUCUAUUUGCAUUGCCAUUGAAAUGAUGCAUAAUGCAUUUUAUGAAAUAAACCUUUUUCAUACACUCAUUUCUCAUCAUUUUGUAUAAUCCUUGAUAGUUCAAAGUUGGAGAAAUACGUAUAAAUAAGCUGCAGAAAUUUCUUAGAUAAAACUGAUUUGCAGGACUGCAUUGUGGGAAUACAAUAUUGUGUGAGAUAAUAUGCAAUGGAUAUUUGCUUUUCUUUCACUUGAAUUUUGUAGUUUAGGGAAAAUAUCCAUAAUCUGAUAAUCCAGAAGCCUAAAUGCUCAGAAAUCUUAAACUUUUUUAGUGUCUACAAGUAGAUCCUUUCAUAUCUUGUUUCAUUUGACAAGUCAUAGUUACAAUCUAAAAAGGUUGUCAGCAAUUGCUAUUGGGCUAUGUAUAUAAGGUGAGCAGAAAGCAUGAAUACAUUUUAUGCUUGAGUCCUAUCCCCAAGAUACGAUGUAAUAUGUAUGCAAAUUUUCCAAAAUCCCAAACCUGAAGCACUUUUAGUUCCAUGCUCUUCAGAUAGGUAUAUUCAACAUAUGCAAAAAUGACCACUUUUAUCUCCUUUGGAAACAGUUGUCCUUUCUGUAUUUAUUUAUUUUCAGUCCUCUGAUAGCAGGCCCAGGAAAGUCGGCUUUGUUAGAAAUGAAGAAUAGGUUUGCAAGUGCCGAGAGGGCAUCUUUCUUUUGCUGGGCACCAUGUUGCCUGCGUGAUGUGUUGCCUUACUUUUGGGGUUUGAGGCGCAACUGUGGCCUGAUACUAUAGAUAUGUAUAUUGUAUACUUUGCAUAUAUAGUGCAUGGCAUAUAGAAUCUAGUAAAUGUUGGAUAUGUGCAAGUCUCAGAUUUAGUUUAUGCCUCAAAGAAUUAGUGAGAUCUGGACUGGAGGAAAGAUACUAUAAAAGGAAAGUAUAAAGAUCUUCUAGUUUUCUGUGGAACUUGUACCCUUAAACAUUUUUUGAGACCUAUAGGUGUCCUUCUGAAGACAUCUCCGAAAAUGGAAAUCUCUAUUGACACAGAACCAAUGACUUCAAAGAAACCUUCUCAAUGCCAUUAUCAAACCUGAGGGACAAGAAAGCAGCAGUGAACCCCGGCAAUCUGGCUUGCUCUUUUGCCUGUAGUUUCCAGUAGACCCGGUACUGUUCUAAAAGAUCCUGCAUCAUUCAGCCUUUGUGCUCAUUUGGUGUUAGUACAGUGUGGGGCAAAUACCAAAGGAAUGGGUUACACUGUGUGCUGCUUUUAAUAAGAGGGAAUACCUUGUCCUCUAGGGAGCCAGUUGGAAACCACACAUUAAAGAAAAACCACAGGCUGGACUUGAAAUGGUAUCGCAGAGAAAAAUGCUUAUUGCUUUCUCUGAUUCAUCUAACCCUCCACAGGGUGUCUGGGUGCCCCAGCAGCAACACUUAAUUUGGUAGAAUGAGUUGUGCUAAUGAGAACUGAAAUGGAUUAAGUGAUAUUGGAGUCCCUUUCUUUCAAAAAUAUAGUUACCUUUUAUUUUGAUAUUUGAAGACUGCUUGUAAAGUCAAAUAAAGUAUGGUGAUUACAUUUGACCUCUUCUGUUUCUGUUUGUUGUUUGUUUUAAGAGCUUCAUUUAUUUGUACUCUCAGAAAAUAAACAGCCAAGUUUUACUAUAAGGUCAUUAAAGUAUUCAAAAGAAAAUUGAGAAGGCUGGACCCUCUGGAUAGCUCAGCAAGUAAAGACACCUGUCACUAAGCCUGACAACCUGAGUUAAAUCCCUGGGACACAUGUGGAGAAGUGACUCUUGCAGGUUGUCCUUGGAUCUCUAUACAUGUGUGCACAUUUGUGUGCAUAUCUCCACGCCACCCAAACUAAAUAAAUAAAAAUGAAAAUUAAAAGUUGAGGAAGAUGACUCCCAGGUUAUGAAAUAUGGAAAUUCUGAAAGGAAAAAUCACACUUUGAGGCAGGCCACUCAAAUUCUUGUACAUUUUUUAUAUGAAUUACAAUUGAUUGAGACUUUUUUCCCCAGUGAGAAAUAUUAAGAUAUCAUAUUCUCAUGGUAUUGUAAUUAUAAGGGAAAGAUCUCAUGAUUGCAAAUCAUAGGCACAUUGGUGGCACAGGUGAUAUAUUCUUUAGAGUGAAGACCAGUCAAAUAUCAAAUGGCUGAGUUGUCCAAAAUCAUUAACGUUUUUCUUAUAGCUACUGUAUAUUGGUUAAAGAUUUAUAUAUUAUCUCCUUAAGGAAAAUCUAUAAUUCUCAUCUUUGGCUGCAUAUUAUAAUCACCUGGAGAGCUUUAAGAAAAAUCCUAUUAUCCAGGUGAUACUGCAGACUAAUUAAAUUAGUCUCAGGGGUUGAGAAGGUAGUCAUCUUUAGGCUUCCCGAGUGAAUUCAGUGUGCAGCCACAGUUGAGAACUACUGUUCUAAAGAGAGCUACAGGAAAAAAAAAUGGCUUAUUUUUACCUAGGCAAGGUGAAAGUGUUUGUAAUAAAUAAGAGUACUGGGUGAAAGUGGGUGCUCUGUAUUAAGUAAAAGGUAACACCAACUAAAAGAAUAACUAAAUAAUAUGGAAUUAUUUGAGCCGGUACGAUGGGAAAGACAGUGCAUUAGUUUAGACUUUUAAAGUCUUUAAAUAGGUUAUAUUGUGGAUGAUAAAUUGUAUUAGCAGCUUUAAUUCAUUUGCAGAACCAUAGAUAGAUCACUAGCAACAGCAUAAAAUAAAUAAUGGGAAUUAAGAGGUGGGAAGUAAGCUUAAGUGUUUUCCUUUCCAAAUGACAUUGUGAAGAAGAUUGUCAUGAAAUCUCAGUGAUGGAGUUGAUACCAAGCAAUGUCUAAAAAAAAAAAAAAAAAGAGUAAAUUUCAUAGAAGACUUCUAUAAAAGAGUGUAAUGGAUUUCAGUCAUGCAUGUAUGUUUGUCAAAACAGUUGUACCUAGCUAUGACACCAGUGACCCAUAUCAACAACAUGCAUAACAUGAUAACCCUGAGGGUGCAGCAGUGGCAUGCAUACCUUGGUGGUAACCAACAGCUCUUUAAUUGGACUUAAGCCUGCUCAAAAUAGAGGGAUACCAUAUUGGAAACCUAGUUAACUACUCACUACUAGUGAGUCAUGGUUAUUGGAGAAGAAUCUACUACCACUAGUUUACUAACCAGACUAAGCCUUCAAUACAGUCUAUUAACAUUUGUCCUUAUACCCACAGAUAAGUGUAGUCACCACCCCUCAUUAAGGAACCUUCUUUUUGCAACGGGUGGAGACCACUACAGAAAACCACAACCAAUCAAAAUACAGGGUUGUGGGCCUAGUCCCAGUGGAAAUAUCUACAAAAUAUUCCUGCACCUAAGGCUCAGGGAACAUUGUGGGAGAGGGGCGGAAAGACUGUAAGAGCCAAAUAACCAUGGAGUUUGUUGUGAGAUUGUGUCUCCCAGUAAUACCAGAAGCUACAUCCAGCAGGUAAAGACACUUGCUACAUGAAGUCUCACCAACAUGACUGCCUAAAAAUGAGCUGAACGAGAACGAUAUCAAUGCACAUGCCAAAUUGGAUGGUAAAAAGCCCAAGCGCCCUCAGUUCUAGGUGACAGGAAAGCUGGGGGUGGGAGCUGGGGGUCUAGAGCCAAGGGGUUAGUCCUGGAAAAAUGCAAACAAGUAAUGUUAUGUGUAUUGAUCAGGUUAUAUUUAGGAACAUAUAUGUAUAUAAGUUAUAUAUGCAAUAAAAACAAUUAGUAAAAAAGAGGCCAUUAAUUUGAAGGCAAGCAGCAGGUAUACAUGGGAGAGUUUUGAGAGAGGAAAGGAAAAAUAUUGUAAUUAUAUUAGAAUCACAAAAAUAAAAAGUGAAACAAAGAUUUACCUAUCUUCUAUACUCAAAAUAGUAUACUAUAGAAGAUAUUCUUAAGUAAUUAUUAUUAAAUACCAUUAGAACCAUUUAAAGAAAGAUUUAAGAGUGAGUUAAUAUUUUCCUACCAUUAGGUGGGCAUUAAUCAAAAGCCCCUAUUUUUCUUUGAGUGUAUUAGUUGGAUAACCAUUGACUUGUGUUUGGAAAACUUAUGCUGUAAAGCAUCAGGAGGGGCUGAAGUUGCAGCUCUUGGUGAACCUGCUGCUUGACAUGCCUUGGCUCUUGGUUCAAUUCCCAGCACAAAGAGGGAGAAAAAAAAGGAAAGGAAAAACAUCAUCAUCAUCAUCAUCAUCAUCAACAACAACAGAAACAAAAGGGAUCACAAUCAUUUACUUUGCUUAUAUAAAUGUUGUCACAAAGCUUUGUAAACUUUUGGUUUAAAUGUGUUUUCGUUAUGUAACCAUCAAGUUGGUGAUGGAUUUCUACAAAAGAAAUGUUACUGGGGCAAAAGGUCUGAGUGACUUAAAGGCUGUGUUGGUCAAUCAUAUCAUCAUAUUGCUGAGAAGAAAUUUAAUCUAGUUCUUUUUGAUUGCUUGUGAGGAUGACUCUCUAACCCCUGUGGUCUAAUACUCUUUCCCAUUUUUUUUUUCUACUAAGAUUUUGGUUUUGCCUGCUAGUUAAGACAUGCACUAGAGAUGGCAUUCCUGUGUGGGAUGUUCAUAUCAUCUGCCUUUCACUUUGUUUUGAGGUAGAUUUUCAUUGAUAUUUUCCUUAAUAGUUCAUUCCUCAUAGCUCAGUUACCCACGGAAGUAAAAGUUGGAGGUAAGUUGAAUUUACUUUUUUUUUUUUCAAAAAAUAUUAAUCCAGUCGCUACAGCCUUAAUUUUGAUUAAGCCCUCCUUUGACUACUAAAAUCUUAAGGACUAGUUAAUCAUAUUAAUUAUUUUAUUAAUUUUUUUGGAUUUAUUAAGUUCUUACAAUAUAAGUUUUACAUCAUCUAGUGUUCUAAGAACACUAUAACAUACAAAACAAGUGGAAAUCCUCUUGGGUUAAUGAUUAAAAAAUUAUAUAUAAUUUAUGUAUUUCUCUUUCUGUGUUAAUUAUUUCAAUAUAUUAAUCUAUUUUUCCUGUUCACAGUACCCUAUAAUUUUGAUUAAAGGUUACUAUGUAUUCUAACUUCUGAUAGUGUUUUUACUUUUGUGUCUAAAGUUCCUGGCCUUCAACAUCCUGCCCCUUCUCUCCGACUUCUCUAGUUGCCAUUCAUUCACUGCACACACACAUUUCAUCUCGGUAGGUCCUGGUUACUUUGUUUGUUUGUGUGAUUAAAUGAAAUGCCGAGUGUAGCAUAUUCAGCGUAGUGCUAACUAGUUGUGUAUACUCAUUUACAGUGCUGUCAUUUUAAGCUCAAUCUAAUCAAACCUACUUGAGAACAAUAUUUGUCCUAUAUUCAGUCUCCUAGGAGCUCAGCCUACUUCUCCAUUUUCCCCAGUCCUCCUGUUUUUGUAAUCUUUUGAAAUUUUGAUUUUAUGGAGCCCUUGUAUUUAUAAGGAAUUUUUUUAGUUUUUUAUACUUUGUUGCUAUUAUUGUAGCCUAUGAUUCUCCAUUAUUUAUUUAUCUAAUUAUGGAGAAAUGGGGAGCUCUUUAAUUUUUUAUGCUGUAACAGGUCAUAUUGAUUGUACAUAUUGACGGCACACCGUUGAUUCCUUUAAUAUUGAUCUUUCUGGGUUUCUGUCUGGCAGGACCAACUGGUGCUGAUGGGGGUGCCUUCGCCCUGUGCAGUAGCUGGCCCUCUUCCAUUUUUCAUCUCACUGGCUAGAGCGUGUGAUCUCAACAAUUAACAUCCAGUCUUUUAUAAUAAUGAAAACUCCAAGAAGCACUUGAAGAUUCUUUCUUCUACAGGUGAGGUCCACAUUGAUAAUAGGUUUUGAAGGGAAGGUAGAGGUAGAAGACUCUGUGUGUGUGUGUGUGUGUGUGUGUGUGUGUGUGUGUGUGUGUGUGUGUGUGUGUGUUGAGGGGUGAAGGGCAGGUGCAAGGUGUUGGUGUGGUAGGUUAAUUCUCUGUGCAUUUCGCAUCUUGUGUCUGUCUCCCAGUGGUGCAGUGGUGAGGAGAAUGGAAGAAGAAGUUUAGGUCAAUAAAGGUAACUCUCUGUUUACUCAUGUCUCCGGGACAGACGAGAAUUUAAAGUUAACUGUCUGCAGUGGAAAACUAAAUACCAGAACAGGACACAUUGAGAAGGAAAGGCCUACCAUAAGUGAAACUGAGACUCCAUCGAAUCCUAGUCGCAUCCAAAGUAGGCAGGUCUGGUACCCUUGGAUGCAAAAAGAAUGUCAGAUCCCCUGGGACUAAAGUUUUGAGUUAUAAUGUGGAUGCUGGGAACUGAACUCCGCGCAAGAGCAGCAGCUGCUCUUGACCACCGAGCCAUCUCUCCAGCCCAGGGUAUCUCAUUUUUAAGUACCCUUUACCGAUAGCCAGUAGAUGUGGGUACAAGCUUAUAUACAAAGCAUAGUGAAAUAGAAUGAGAAAUUUUGGCUACCUUCAAGGCAAAAUCUAGGGAAUAUUAUACAUGCUACAGAAUUUGAAAAGUACAAUCUUAGAAUCAUUUAAUGCAGGAAAACUGACCCAUUGUGAUGCCAUGGCAUCUUGAAUAUAAUCUAGACCAGUAACUGAUAUUUUCAGUGAUAAGCAAGCAAUUGAAGAAAGUCUUAUUUUCCUUUCAUUCUCCUAAUAAUACAUCUUCUAGCUCUACCAAAAAUCUCUAUUUCCUCCAGUGUAUUUAAGAAAUGUUCUAUGAAGGCAGUAAAUUAAAUGAGCUUUUUGUCUUUAAACUAGGCUUUGAGUGAUUCUAAAAUUGUUAGCUAUUCAUCAUGGGUUUUCAGCAGCAGAUGCUUAAUUAUAUUGAGAAUCUCUUUCUGAAAACAUGAAGAUUAUAUUGAGAAUCUCUUUCUGAAAACAUGAAGAUAACCAUAAUGCAGUUUAUACUCAUGGUUGUAAAAAUGCAAUGAGUUAGUCUUUAGUGUUUGUGAAUAUGUAUUUUAAAUGGAUGUUAUAGAUAAACCUUGUUUCGCCUUAUAGGAAGUCACUUCAAAAACAAGUUUGCCUCUGUAGAAAAAUCUUGGUUCUGUGGGUCUCUUGGUCCUGAUGUGGAGAAGGGUAGCCCCAAAGGUCAGGGUUGAUGUUUCAACCCUAGGCUUGACAAAAUAAACUAGAGUUCAUCUCUUUGUUCAUAUCCAUCACGUAGGAGUUGGGAAUAAUGACUGUUUGCAGUCUAGCUGUCACUUGAAGAAAGUCUGUCUGAACCAUGUGGAGGGUCUUUCUAUUCUAGACUCAUUAAAAGACAGGCAAGUGAGGUCUCAAAGCUAGAUGUCGCAAAGACAGUGUUUCUUAUUUUAGUAAGUAGUGUACCCUGUUCCACACCCCUGCCUAGAUUAAUUUGAGAUUAAUAUAUGUGUAUUAAAAGUGUUACUUAAGUGUUUCAGUUUGGUUUUUGAAAAGCAAAAACUAUGCUCUGAUAACUACCUGUUAACUGCAUAGUGCUUAGUUGCAGAGUAUCUAUUUUCUUAAUUAAAUCAUUAGCAUUUUAAGAUGAAUGGAGUGGGUCUGCUUUCUUAGGUUGUUUUUCUAUUUAAAAGGCUAGUGACCCCAGAGGCAAGCUGCUAAGUCAUAAGCUCGCCAUCUAGUGGUGAAAGACUCCUGUGAUUUAUGGUGUGUGUCACAUUUUCAUACACGAUUCUGAUAGAAAACACCUUAGGGAAUCACAAGCCCCAUGCCACAGUGGUAGCAAUAUAACAUUUCCUUCAACCCUAAAAUGAGAUUCCGUGAGAACAAGACAUCCCUUGCUUGCUUUUUGUACAGUACCACUGUGAGAAUUUAAGGAGGAUUUUAUCUCAUUUCUUCUACUUUGACAAAUGAAGUAGUCUUUCUGAACUGUCAUUGGGUAUGCCCACAUAAAAGUGGGUGCAGGUGGACACCUGUGUGUGCGCGCGUACAUGCACAUGUAUAUAGUGGUCCUGUUAAUUGAGUCCAGAGCUCUGUGUGUGCUAGGCAAGCUCCCUAUGACUGAAUAAUAUCACUUCCCAAGAUUUCCUGUGUUUUUAGGAGCAGGAAAUAAGUAAUUGAGUGAAUUUCUAUGGUAUUUUUGGAUUUUUUUCUGGAAUAUAUUUUUGUUGAAUCUAAUGAUAUAUUUGUUGGUGAUUCUUUUUCUAAAUUUAUAGACACUGGACAGUGACAAGGGAGUUGGAGGAAAUGCUAACUUCAUUUACACUAGAGAUAUACGUAUAAUUAUGAAAACUAUAUUGAGAUUUUUAUAACUUUAAAAAUAAUUCAGUUACUGUUUUGGAAAGGUAAAAAUGAAAUAAAUAUAAAUAGAUAUCACUUAAUAUCUGUUAUUAGUAUGACUGGAAUCAUCAGUUAUGCUCAGAGACAUUUGCUUCUAAAGAUAGGACUUCUGUGUGUUCUGGUGUGGAUGCUUUAACAGCUGUUCUCAAUUAGUCAGCAACAUUUUAAUAGCUGUUUAUCCCAUUUCAUUCAUGUGUAAUUAAGCAACCAUCUAGACCUUUAGAUUGUUGGGAGUAGUGAAAAGUUUAAAACAUAGUUAAAUAUUUGAGAACUGCAAAGUGGGCGUUCUUUGUGUCUGUAGGUAAUGAGAAAUAUGGUACCGAAGCUGAUGGAGUCUAUUCUUAUGGAAGUGUUCAAGGAGAAGCAGGUAGACACAGGCAGGGUGGGUCUUAGUUGGUUAGACAUCCACAGGGCCUGUGUUCAUUUCUGCUUUAGCCAAGGAAAUCAGAGAAGGAGAUGUUUUCAUGUUGAGAUCCAGUGAGUGAGACUAGCCAACCAAUACAGGUAACUUAGGUGUAGGACAUUGAGGAAUAGGAAGGAAGGAAGGGUAAAGCCCAAAGCUAGGAAAGAGGUUUGGCUGCUGUGGAAGGAGAAAGAUAGGCUUUUUUGUUGUCGUUUAUGGGACAAGUAGUGACUUUCUUAAUAUUUUACGGUAUAGAUUCCUCUACAACGGAAAUCUACACUCUCCUUAUUUAAGUUUGCUUCUAGGCCUGCUCCCCUUCUUCCCUACCCCCUCUUCCUGUGAGAGAUAAUCUUGCUAUGAAGUCAGGUUGUUCCAGACCUUGGUAUGUGCCCAAGGUGACCAGAAACCCACAAUUCUCCUGCCUCAGCCUCCUGAGUGUUAGAAUUAUAAGCAUAUAUCACCAGACUUGCCUUAGGAAAUUAAAAAAAAAGAUUGUACCCAUAUGAAA